GGAAUUUUGGACAAUGGGGGCAACCCUGAUCCAGCCAUGCCGCGUGCGGGAGGAAGGCCUUCGGGUUGUAAACCGCUUUUGUCGGGGAAGAAACGCUCCUGGCUACUACCUUGGAGUAAUGACGGUACCCGAAGAAUAAGCACCGGCUGACUCCGUUCCAGCAGCCGCGGUAAUACGUAGGGUGCAAGCGUUAAUCGGAAUUACUGGGCGUAAAGCGUGCGCAGGCGGUCAUGCAAGACAGAUGUGAAAUCCCCGGGCUCAACCUGGGAACUGCAUUUGUGACUGCAUGGCUGGAGUGCGGCAGAGGGGGAUGGAAUUCCGCGUGUAGCAGUGAAAUGCGUAGAUAUGCGGAGGAACACCGAUGGCGAAGGCAAUCCCCUGGGCCUGCACUGACGCUCAUGCACGAAAGCGUGGGGAGCAAA
rnacentral:rRNA from 1 species